rnacentral:lncRNA from 1 species
GAGACGACGGCCUAGACCUCUCACGAACACAUCGCAGCAUCCUCCAAGCGCCUCAUCCUGCGGUACCUGUUCUUGACCUGUGGGGGGGGUGUGAGACAGCAAGAGUGAGCUCACAUACGUUCAUCGCUCAACAAGUUGUGGGGAAUAAUGUGCAUGAACUCGCCAAAGGUGGGAGCUCACGUGAAGUGUAAGGCUUACCAAAGAGGAUGGUUAGAGCUGAGCAUUGCUUUUAAAGUUGGUCAAAAUUUUAUUAGCAAUUACUAAGUAUAAGUAAAUACCAACCCAAUUAAGUAGUAGAACAAAAGUAACAACCUCACCUGCGAUGCAAUGCAUAUGACAAAAUUGAGUUUAAGUUCCAUAAUUUAAUCAUGUGAGUGUCCGAGCUGCUCAUGACCGUGAGCACGGCUAGUAUACCAGUUUUACACUCUGCAGAGGUUGCGCAUCUUUACCCACAAGUCAUGUUACCCAUCUGCCAAGGGAUCGCGACUUCCCAUACACCUCUACCGAGGAGGCGAGGCAGGGUAACACUACGAGGCCUUUACAAAGUUCCACUAGCUUCAGAAAACCCGCUACAGUUUAUAGGAAGCUCCAAUGCAGGAAUCCCUUGCAGGACCGCCAUCGCAGCAAAAUCCUCCCGAGGGCCUCCCUACACUGACCACUCCCCUACUGCCCUUGCCCCUUUCGGGUAAGGUAGUCUUCCACUAGCUUUCCUAAUUAAUCGGCCAAGGGCGUCCCAUUAAACCCUUGUGGUAGCACUGUUUUCCCGGGUGGUUCUCCAUGUUCCAAUUAACAUAAUGAUCUUAUCAUGAACAGUAAAUAGCAACUGAUAACAAAAGUAUGAAUAAUAUAUAUCUCAAUGCCCAAAUCCACAUAUAGCACUAGCAAGUACUACCCAGAAAGUUUAGUGGUAAACAAGGCAUAAAGAUAAACAAACUAGGGUAACCUAUUAGGUCCCAUCAAAUUAACCUAUGCAGAUCAUUAUGAUUAAUUAGAACAUGAGUGGGUAAAAGAAGUGAUCAAGGGCACAACUUGCCUGGGACUUGAGAUUCCAGGUACCAGGAUGAUCUUCAGGUGACUCGUAACCUCGCGCUAGUCGUAUCAAUACAGACAACAUGGCAUAGGCAGAAUUAACAUCACACCAAACAUAAGAAUAAACUAUGUAAUAAUAAUCUACACUGCGUAACGAGAUCGUAGAAACAAGAACCACUAAAUUCGGAGCUACGGUUAUAAAGUUAUGAAUUUUCGAAAUUAUUUAGUGCUUAGAAUAGAUUAAUCCAAAUGAACAAUUUUAAUUCAAGUUUCAUGGCUAAACAGUGGCAUUAGAUGAUGAAAAAUAUUCAAAUAAAAUUAUUGCAAAUGAAAUGACUCAAUUUGCAGUUAAAAUGAAUUCAUUAUGAAUUUCACAAGUUUCUGGCAUUUAUUUUCACAUUAAAAAUCAUUUUCUAAUUGGAUUUUCUAAUUCUCUGGACUGGGCACCAAAUUCUGGAAAAUACAGGGAAUGUUCCUAAGACUCAUUGAGCAGUACUGGUGGACGGCGGGUUCAUUCUGCAAUUCUUUAAGGGCUCCUCUGCAAAACAACUGCGCUGAAGGGGUAUCCUCUUUUCUCGGACGUUGGAUCUAGAUUGGAUGGCUCAAAUUUAAAUAAACGAAGAGGUAAGUUGAGUCUAAUCUAAGACGCUCAUUAUCAUUCGGAUGGUCCAGAUUGGAUCGCCCAGGGGUAUGUGCGAUUAAAUCUGCACCGCCCAUCUAAGAUCCCGCGGAUGCCACAUGCACUACCCUCUGUCUAAUCACGAGCGUCUGUUAACAGAUCGACGGCCAGCACAUCAUCUUCCCCAACGGGUCUACUCGCCGACGCGCUCCAGGGAAAAUACGCGGUCACCGACGACGGCGGAAACGCCAUCGGCUCCCCACUAUCGACCGCCUUUGCUAUCGCUCUCAGAUCAACGCCGGGGUAAUGGUGGCGCCGCGCCCCGCCACGACGAGCUAGCAAUCGGCUUCAACAGCGGUAUGCACGCUACGCUAAUGAUGGUACGCCGAGCAGGUGCGAGGGAGGGGAGUCACUUACCGAAGAGCUGCCCAGCCGUCGCUGCUUCCGAUAAGUCUACGUGCGCCGUCCCUGCAUGACUCCGUCCCCGGCUUUCCGCGAUGAGGCACAGGCCCUCGCGCUGGUGCUCCCCACUGGCAGCAAUUCGUCUUCACCUUCCUGGCAGGCGAGCGGGGCGCAGACGAAGGUUACUGGUGAUGGCUCCC